ensembl:lncRNA
GUGGCAAAUUUCAAACAGCCAACACCUGUUCUUGGCAAUGCUUUGCCCUCCCCUGUAGCUCAACGUUUUCUGUUUAGUAAUCAUAAAAAAUAAAUAAAUGCAUUUACUCACAUAAAACAGAUGAGCUGACCAAUGUGAUACUAAUACAGCUGUUGUUCACAGCAGGGUGUUUCUGUUAGUCAUGGGCAUGCCUUAUACAGUUGCAUCCCAAUAACAAUGAACUGCAAUCUGGCGUGUAUAAGUUCUGGCCCCUGCUACAUGAAAUGAAUGAUGUGGUGGAUUUACUCUGGGAGGUGUCUUUGGUGGUUGCCAUGCUUGAGGCAAGGCUGUCCUGGUUUCUCCUCAGUGGCUCUGCUGGCUGAAGGCUCGCCCAUCCCUGCACAUCAGCUCCCGCAGGCUGUAGUGUGGUAGAGUAGAGGUCCUGGGACCACUACCAGGCAGGCAGGGAGCCUGCCAUGGAAGCAGAGCAGGUACUCGUGGGAGUGACAUCUUCACCCAUCUUCUAUUUAACCCAUCUAUAUGUCAUUCAGAAGUCUGUGUAAAUGUCUGUUUAAUCCCUGCUGUCAGGGCCCUGAGAGCACCAGCAGGUUGUAAUGAUGUGGACCAGCCUCACCUGGGAUUUCCAUCCCCCCAGCUCCCUGCACAUGGGCCCAGGAGCCUCAUUUAAGCUCAGAACUGCAGUGUAGGAAGCUCUAUGGUCAUGCAGACCUGGUGAUUUGGUUUCCACACUGAUCCUAGGCUUGUGUUUGUACCUCUCACCUGUCUGUUAACCACAGGACUGGUAUCGGAGCCCUUGGCUGCCACCAGCCCCAUGCUGCUCCCUGUGUGAUACUAGUAGGGGCCCUGCCCUGCCCUGCCCUGCCCAUGCUGUGGCUGUCCCCAGCUUCUGGCUUGUCCUCCCUGGUGUGAUGGGGCUGCCCCCUGGUUUGUGAAUCCUUAUGAAUUCAUCCUUAAAAUUUCUGUCUGAUUUUUAGCAAAAGACCUGUGUGCUUUCCUCUUCACUGUGUUUAGAAAAACCUUGUAUUAAAAGGAAAAGUCCUGUGCAUCUUAUAAACAAAAGAGCUUUUGUGUAAAACAGGUUUUUGUGAUAAAUUCAUAGUACUUUUUAACAUCCAGCUCUCAUCAUUCUCCUGUAUGUUAAGUGAUAUUCACAACUCCCCUAUGUGUUUUUCUUUAUGGAGCAGUUUGAAACAAACAGACCCAAACCUAUAUAUUUGCCCAAAUAUAUUGGGCCUCCUUUUUUGUGAGCCAUCCUAGACAAAAUCAAGUGUUGAUAAUAAACAGGUAGAGGACAGACCCUAUAAUUGAAUGCUUUGGAGUCUAUAAACCUGUUGUUGUUAUCAGCUAGAAGUAUUUGUGCUGUAGUAUAAAACCAGUUAUUUUGUGUUGAGUUACAGACAGAUACUGACUUGCCUGAAUAAUAUCAGGAAGCACUGCAACACUGCCACCUUAAUUAAAAAAAAAUAAUAAAUGUCUAUAGAAUCUAAGACAGGGAGUAGGAAAUAAUGUUUUGUUUUCUCUAUGGAAAUAGACCUCUGUGUGUAAUAUCACC